UACGGGGGGGGCAAGCGUUGUUCGGAAUUACUGGGCGUAAAGGGCUCGUAGGCGGCCAACUAAGUCAGACGUGAAAUCCCUCGGCUUAACCGGGGAACUGCGUCUGAUACCGGAUGGCUUGAGUUUGGGAGAGGGAUGCGGAAUUCCAGGUGUAGCGGUGAAAUGCGUAGAUAUCUGGAGGAAUACCGGUGGCGAAGGCGGCAUCCUGGACCGGCAUUGACGCUGAGGAGCGAAAGCCAGGGGAGCAAACGGG
rnacentral:rRNA from 1 species